AGUAAGAUGCCUGAAUUCAAAGGACUAUUUUGAUAGAGUAGAUCAUGCAUAACCAUGCUCUUACU
rnacentral:tRNA from 1 species